rnacentral:tRNA from 1 species
AUAGGAGCAUUCCGAUUGGCCGGAUACUUCACCUGGAAUGAAGAGGCUGCAGGUUCGAAUCCUGUCUCCUAUA